AGUCAUAUGCUUGUCUCAAAGACUAAGCCAUGCAUGUCUAAGUAUAAAUGAUAUACAGUGAAACUGCGAAUGGCUCAUUAAAACAGUUAUAGUUUAUUUGGUAAUCGAAUUUACAUGGAUAACCGUGGUAAUUCUAGAGCUAAUACAUGCUGUAAAGCCCGACUUCACGGAAGGGCCGUAUUUAUUAGAUAACAGACCAAUAUUCCUCGUGUCUAUUGUGGUGAAUCAUAGUAACUAAUCGGAUCGCAUGGGCUAGUCCCGCGACAAACCAUUCAAGUUUCUGCCCCAUCAGCUUUCGAUGGUAGUGUAUUGGACUACCAUGGCUUUUACGGGUAACGGAGGAUUAGGGUUCGAUUCCGGAGAGGGAGCCUGAGAAACGGCUACCACAUCUAAGGAAGGCAGCAGGCGCGUAAAUUACCCAAUCCUAAUUCAGGGAGGUAGUGACAAGAAAUAACGGGUCGGGGCUCUGCCCCGGGACUGCAAUGAGAUGAAUUUACACCCCUUUUCGAGUAACAAU
rnacentral:rRNA from 1 species